rnacentral:lncRNA from 1 species
UGAGGGCGAACUCGUUAAGUAGUCGCGUCACGUAUUUGACGAGGUCAUCUUGGCGGGUGCUGGGAGUAGCUUGGCUUUUCAGAUUCCUGAUGAGAGUACAAAAGUGAAAUUUUCAUAUUAUCUUAAUUAGUAUUAUAGCUAAUCUUUAUUAAUAAAAUUAAUUAAUUAAUGUUUUAUUAUUGUUUGAGUGCAAGUAAUUCAAGAGAUUCAAUAAUGCUGGAUUUCAGCCCAAUGCCUGUCAGCCCGAGCUCAACAAAUUCUCCAGUGUCCGUGAUGAGGCGACUCAACAGUUCCUAACCUAAAAUUCCCAUGUAUCCACGACAACGAGCUGAAGCAAGUGAUUUCCCAACAUCUUCAAGUGUCCCCGAGCCGUCUCGAGAGUCCCAAAGCAAUUCAAUUGCUUCUCAAACCAAGUAUCCGUUUCCCAGCAAC